rnacentral:sRNA from 1 species
UUCAGGAAGGAUCCUCCCCUUGCAGCUGUGACCACUGCUGUCCAGGAACUGCUGCGUCUGGCUCAGGCCCACCCAGCCGGACCCCCCACCCUCGACCCUGUCAAUGACCUGCAGCUCAAAGAUAUGUCAGUUGUAGAGGGCGGGCACUGUGAAGCUGGCAGGGCGGGUGGCUUGUGCCAUGAGCAGCCAUGAGUUGCUCCUCACUGAGCUCAUGUUUGACAAUGCACUGAGCACCCUGCGGCCUGAGGAGAUUGCUGCCUUGCUCUCUGGCCUGGUCUGCCAGAGCCCUGGGGACGCUGGGGAUCAGCUCCCAAACACCCUCAAGCAGGGAAUAGAACGUGUCCGGGCUGUGGCCAAGCGGAUUGGUGAGGUCCAGGUGGCUUGUGGCCUGAACCAGACGGUGGAGGAAUUUGUGGGGGAGCUGAAUUUUGGGCUGGUUGAGGUUGUGUAUGAGUGGGCCCGGGGCAUGCCCUUCUCCGAGUUGGCAGGGCUCUCAGGGACCCCUGAGGGCCUGGUGGUCCGCUGCAUUCAGCGCCUGGCUGAGAUGUGUCGCUCACUGCGGGGGGCAGCCCGCCUGGUAGGAGAGCCUGUGCUGGGUGCCAAGAUGGAGACAGCGGCUACCUUGCUACGGCGGGACAUCGUAUUUGCGGCCAGCCUUUACACCCAGUGAAUGCCCCAUGUAAAAAUGUGAUGAUAAAACAGCAAA